rnacentral:rRNA from 1 species
GACGAACGCUGGCGGCGUGCUUAACACAUGCAAGUCGAACGGAGUGGCGAACGGGUGAGUAAAACGUGGGUGAUCUUCCGUGCACUUCGGGAUAAGCUUGGGGAACUGGGUCUAAUACCGGAUAGUGCAAGAUGAGCUCGCGGCAUAUCAGCUUGUUGGUGGGGUAAGGGCCUACCAAGGCGUCAACGGGUAGCCGGCCUGGGAGGGUGUACGGCCACAGUGGGACGUAGCUACGGCCCAGACUCCUACGGUAGGCAGCAGUGGGGAAUAUUGCACAAUGGGCGGAAGCCUGAUGCAGCGACGCCGGGUGGGGGAUGAAGGCCUUCGGGUUGUAAACUCCUUUCGACAGGGACGCGGUACCUGUAUAAGAAGCACCGGCUAACUACGUGCCAGCAGCCGCGGUAAUAC